rnacentral:rRNA from 1 species
GACGAACGCUGGCGGCGUGCUUAACACAUGCAAGUCGAACGGUAAGGCCCUUCGGGGUACACGAGUGGCGAACGGGUAAGUAACACGUGGGUGAUCUGCCCUGCACUUCGGGAUAAGCCUGGGAAACUGGGUCUAAUACCGGAUAGGACCACUGCCUGCAUGGGUGGUGGUGGAAAGCUUUUGCGGUGUGGGAUGGGCCCGCGGCCUAUCAGCUUGUUGGGGGGGUGAUGGCCUACCAAGGCGACGACGGGUAGCCGGCCUGGGAGGGUGACCGGCAACACUGGGACUGAGAUACGGCCCAGACUCCUACGGGAGGCAGCAGUGGGGAAUAUUGCACAAUGGGCGCAAGCCUGAUGCAGCGACGCCGAGUGAGGGAUGACAGCCUUCGGGUUGUAAACCUCUUUCAGCACCGACGAAGCGCAAGUGACGGUAGGUGCAGAAGAAGGACCGGCCAACUACGUGCCAGCCGCCGCCGUAA